CACGUAGGGGCGAGCGUUGUCCGGAUUUAUUGGGCGUAAAGAGCUCGUAGGUGGCUUAGUAAGUCGGGUGUGAAACCUCCAGGCUCAACCUGGAGACGCCACCCGAUACUGCUAUAGCUUGAGUCCGGUAGGGGAGCGUGGAAUUCCUGGUGUAGCGGUGAAAUGCGCAGAUAUCAGGAGGAACACCAGCGGCGAAGGCGGCGCUCUGGGCCGGUACUGACACUGAGGAGCGAAAGCGUGGGGAGCAAACAGG
rnacentral:rRNA from 1 species